rnacentral:rRNA from 1 species
CAUAGGUUAAUGAGGCGAACCGGGGGAACUGAAACAUCUAAGUACCCCGAGGAAAAGAAAUCAACCGAGAUUCCCCCAGUAGCGGCGAGCGAACGGGGAGCAGCCCAGAGCCUGAAUCAGUGUGUGUGUUAGUGGAAGCGUCUGGAAAGGCGCGCGAUACAGGGUGACAGCCCCGUACACAAAAAUGCACAUACUGUGAGCUCGAUGAGUAGGGCGGGACACGUGGUAUCCUGUCUGAAUAUGGGGGGACCAUCCUCCAAGGCUAAAUACUCCUGACUGACCGAUAGUGAACCAGUACCGUGAGGGAAAGGCGAAAAGAACCCCGGCGAGGGGAGUGAAAAAGAACC